GUUGGGCUUGGAGCUAGGAUUUUUCUGAGUGCAAUGAACCAACUCCCGAGUCUCUAGGACGUUCCUAAAAAAAUUUGUUUUUUUCCCCAUAGGAAUGCAUGGGUUAGGGUUAGGGUUAGGGUUGGAGCUAGGGUUAGGGUUAGGGUUAGGGUUGGAGUUAGGGUUAGUGUUGGAGCUAGGGUUAGGGUUGGGCUUGGAGCUAGGAUUUUUCUGAGUGCAAUGAACCAACUCCCGAGUCUCUAGGACGUUCCUAAAAAAAUUGAUUUUUUCCCAUAGGAAUGCAUGGGUUAGGGUUAGGGUUAGGGUUGGAGCUAGGGUUAGGGUUAGGGUUAGGGUUGGAGUUAGGGUUAGUGUUGGAGCUAGGGUUAGGGUUGGGCUUGGAGCUAGGAUUUUUCUGAGUGCAAUGAACCAACUCC